AGUGAACGCUGGCGGUAGGCCUAACACAUGCAAGUCGAACGGCAGCACAGUAAGAGCUUGCUCUUACGGGUGGCGAGUGGCGGACGGGUGAGGAAUACAUCGGAAUCUACUUUUUCGUGGGGGAUAACGUAGGGAAACUUACGCUAAUACCGCAUACGACCUACGGGUGAAAGCAGGGGAUCUUCGGACCUUGCGCGAUUGAAUGAGCCGAUGUCGGAUUAGCUAGUUGGCGGGGUAAAGGCCCACCAAGGCGACGAUCCGUAGCUGGUCUGAGAGGGUGAUCAGCCACACUGGAACUGAGACACGGUCCAGACUCCUACGGGAGGCAGCAGUGGGGAAUAUUGGACAAUGGGCGCAAGCCUGAUCCAGCCAUACCGCGUGAGUGAAGAAGGCCUUCGGGUUGUAAAGCCCUUUUGUUGGGAAAGAAAAGCAGCAGGUUAAUACCCCGCUGUUCUGACGGUACCCAAAGAAUAAGCACCGGCUAACUUCGUG
rnacentral:rRNA from 1 species